GUGAAAUAAUUUUUAUUCUUAACACAUACUUUAAAACUAACACAUAUAUUGGAAAAGAAAGUCUCCUCUCUCACUAGCUAUUUUUUAAAUGGUGUGAUAGGCAUAAUUUUAAAAACCUUUCUACCACAAGAUUUCCUAUCCUAAUUUCUAGGACUGUGAAUAUGAUACAAUAUCAUGCUUGGGGUUAUACAGAUGUAAUUAAAGUUGCUGAUCUAUUGACUUUGAGUUAAUUGAAAAGGAAAUUACUCAGGGGAACCUAGUCUAAUUCCAUGAGCCCCUAAAAGCAGAGUUUUCACCAAGUAGUAGGAGAAUAGGAAGCCAGACAUAUUCAAAAUUUGAGAAAGGUUCAUGGGUCAGUUGCUGGUUUGAAAUAUAAGGAGGUCACAAAAGAAGGAAUGCAAGAAGCCCCUAGGUACAGAACGGGCAUCCUAGCUAACAGCCUGCAAACAAACAAACAAAAAACAAAAACAAAAACAAACAGGGACUUCAGAGUUCAGCAGUAGGAAACUGAACUCUGACAGCCGGGUGCAAUGGCUCAUUCAAGCCUGUAAUCCCAGCACUUUGGGAGGCCAAGGCGGGCGGAUCACCUGAGGUCAGGAGUUCCAGACCAGCCUGGCCAACAUGGUGAAAUUCCAUCCCUACCAAAAAAUAUAAAAAUUAGCCAGGUGUGGUUGCAGUUGCCUGUAGUUCCAGCUACUUGGGAAACUGAGGCAGGAGAAUUGCUUGAACCCGGGAGGCACAGGUUGCAGGGAGCAAGAGAUUGUGCCACUGCACUCCAGGCUGGGUGACAGAGCGAGACUCCAUCUCAAAAAAAAAAAAAAAAAAAAGAAAAAAAAAGAAACUGAGCUCUGACUACAAUCUGAAUGAACGUGGAAGCGAAUUCUUCCCCAGAGCCUUUGGAUAAGAGCCCAGCCCUCCCGAUAUUUUGAAUUUGACCUUAUGAUACCCUAAGCAGAGAACUCAGUUAAGCCUAUGAGAGUGCAGACCUAUAGAAAUGUGAUAUAAUAAACUAAUAAUGUUUGAAGCAGCUCAAGUUGCAGUAAUUUAUGUAUAACAAUAGAAAACUAAUGCAAAGUAUUACUAUUAUCCAUAUUUUAUUAAGAGUUUAUAGAGUUCUAUAAUAAACUAAUAUUUACAGGGUUUAUGUAAAUUAUUGUAUCAUUUAUCUAUUAUCACAGAAUUGUCACAUCACAAAGCCCUGUAUAGCAUCAGUGGCUGACAACAUUAAACAUUUAUUUUUCACUCUAAUGCAUGGUUCAACUUAUUUAGGCUGGGCUUGGCUGGGCAGCACUGAUCAUUUCUGCACCAUCUGCUCAGGUACAUAGGGUGCAGCUGUACGUCAUCCCUAUCCUAUUGUUUUCCUGUGUCGUUCUUCCUAUAUCCAUCACCCUUUUGUUGUAUCUAUUUCUAUAUUGUCUCUUAUUUUGCCCUCUCUAACUAAACCCCAGAUGUCUCUUUUGCAUCACCCAGACUUUAGCAUAAAACUUAGCACAAAAUUUUUACUGUUUACAUUCUUUUACUAGUCUCUCAGACCUAGUGGCUCUAACUCAUUGUAGUAAAAAACACGGUUCUACUCCCACUCCAACACUAACAUUGCUUACUUUACUAAGUGUUGUAUUAACACACCAAUGGCCCUGGAAGCAAUGACAGAGUUUGACAUAUUGAUUGUAAGGUUAUUUAUAAAAUUUUAAUUACUUUAUGAUUAACACAUUGAUCACUAACUGACUGGUAUGCUGAUUGUUAAAC
rnacentral:lncRNA from 10 species